rnacentral:rRNA from 1 species
GGUUAAGCGACUAAGCGUACACGGUGGAUGCCCUGGCAGUCAGAGGCGAUGAAGGGCGUGCUAAUCUGCGAUAAGCGCCGGUAAGGUGAUAUGAACCGUUAUAACCGGCGAUACCCGAAUGGGGAAACCCAGUGUGACUCGUCACACUAUCAUUAACUGAAUCCAUAGGUUAAUGAGGCGAACCGGGGGAACUGAAACAUCUAAGUACCCCGAGGAAAAGAAAUCAACCGAGAUUCCCCCAGUAGCGGCGAGCGAACGGGGAGGAGCCCAGAGCCUGAAUCAGCAUGUGUGUUAGUGGAAGCGUCUGGAAAGGCGCGCGAUACAGGGUGACAGCCCCGUACACAAAAGCGCAUGUGCUGUGAGCUCGAUGAGUAGGGCGGGACACGUGGUAUCCUGUCUGAAUAUGGGGGGACCAUCCUCCAAGGCUAAAUACUCCUGACUGACCGAUAGUGAACCAGUACCGUGAGGGAAAGGCGAAAAGAACCCCGGCGAGGGGAGUGAAAAAGAACCUGAAACCGUGUACGUACAAGCAGUGGGAGCCCCACCACCAAAGCAUUCUCUGGUGUUGAAGGCCCUGCAAAGCAGCAUCGCGGUGGCGGAGCGUCGUUUGCGACGCCCAACACACAAAACAAGCGGUGAGUGCUUUGGGGUGGGGUGACUGCGUACCUUUUGUAUAAUGGGUCAGCGACUUAUAUUCUGUAGCAAGGUUAACCGAAUAGGGGAGCCGGAGGGAAACCGAGUCUUAAUUGGGCGUUAAGUUGCAGGGUAUAGACCCGAAACCCGGUGAUCUAGCCAUGGGCAGGUUGAAGGUUGGGUAACACUAACUGGAGGACCGAACCGACUAAUGUUGAAAAUUAGCGGAUGACCUGUGGCUGGGGGUGAAAGGCCAAUCAAACCGGGAGAUAGCUGGUUCUCCCCGAAAGCUAUUUAGGUAGCGCCUCGUGAAUUCAUCUCCGGGGGUAGAGCACUGUUUCGGCUAGGGGGCCAUCCCGGCUUACCAACCCGAUGCAAACUGCGAAUACCGGAGAAUGUUAUCACGGGAGACACACGGCGGGUGCUAACG